AAGAUCUUGUUAGUAGUGGGACUUCAGGCAUCUUAAGAGAAGACUGCUCAGCUCACAUACAUACAAGACCUAAGCAUCAAGCCUAGGCUGCAGGAUGGAGGACACCAAUCACAGGGCCAUCUGCAAAAGGUGGCUUUGGUGGAUUAAUUGAUUGGAAGCGGCUCUUUCCAUUCCCCGGUUCCUUAUUUAUCUUUCUCCCACAGAUGUGUGAAAGAAAUACAUUUCUCCAUAAGAUUUUCUCAAGCAGAGAACUGGCUGUCUCCAAUUUCUCCAGGGACAUGUUCUUUUGCUAUUAUUCUGCACUUACACAGAAGCAUGACUCUUUUCUACUGGAAAAUUCACAGGGCCAUACACAAGUAAAACAAACAAUUUUGAAUUCAAAAAACCCCUUAGAGUGAAUCUUAGAAGCAUAAACAAACCUUUUCUGUUUGUUUUACUUGUAUAUGGGCCUCUAUUUAUAUAUGUUUGUUGUUUACAACAAACAGAUCUUCAGAAUAAUAUAACUUUUGGAUUCUGACGGCCGUCUACCCAAAAAAAGUGGGGGCUCUGGGGUGCAGCAUUGUGUGCAGUGUCAGAGGCUAAGUCGAUACAUUCAGAAUCAGAAUUUUCUCUCCUGUUUCUUAUGGCUACCGGCUCUUCAUAAAAGAGCCCCAGCUGAGAAUCGGGUUAUCUUUAGGGCUCUCGACACGAGAGGAAAGGAGGGUGGUGAAGGUAGGGGCUGACAUUUUUACUUGUCUACCCAUCUGGGAAUUUUCUUGCUGAUAGAAUCCUUACGUGACGGCAGUCCAACGUGCCCACCCACAGUACAUGGAUUCUGAUUGGCCACAGCCCAUCCGCAGUACAUAGAUUCUGAUUGGUCACAGCCCACCCACAGUACAUAGAUUCUGAUUGGCCACAGCCCACCCACAGUACAUAGAUUCUGAUUGGCCACAGCCCACCCACAGUACAUAGAUUCUGAUUGGCCACAGCUGAAAAUCAUGGCCGUCAAGCUCCCUUUUAUCAGACACUGGUUUUCGUGGCCUCUCUUCAGCCAGAGGGGGAGUGUCUGCUGGGGAAACCCCUAAGCUGAAAGCCGCUUUGUCACCUUCUUCCUUCCUGCUUGGGACACACAUGUAAUGCUUGGCACUGCUCCCGCCAUCUAGUCACCAUGAGAUGACAGCCAAGAGGAGAAAAAGCCAAAACGGAGAGGAUGACAGUGAAGAAAGAGGAAAAGUGGUUAAACCUGACGUGACAUCAUGGAAAUCUGAACAAAGGCACAGAACCACAGAUUUCCCAAUUCUUGCGAAAGAAGCAAUUCAUAUUCCUUCUGGGUGAAGCUGCUGCUGGUUGGGUAUUUAUCCUAUUAGAGCUGAAGCAUCCUAAGUAAUACAGUGCAAAUCAGAAAUUGAAAUAGAUGAAGCACGUCUUGAGCAGUGUCAUGGCAAAGGAGUCUGGCUUGUGGAGUGUCUGUCUCUGGAAAUUUGGAGAGCUGGGAGCAGGAGAUGUGAUUGUGGUUCACAAUUGCAGAAAUGGAAGGGACCAUCCCAGGACACAGCACAACCAAAUCAACUGCACAGCCGUUUUCUCUACUAUCAGUGUGACUAGGUUGCAAUCCCAAAAAUGUUUUCAAUUCCUGCAAUAUUUAUGAGGAUAUGGAAGCAGUGAUGUCCUUGUUUCUUUGAAAUCAGUAAGUAAAGAUCUGAGACAUUUAUACUACAUGAAGAAAUCAAGAUCUGUCACUAAAGUCAAUUCUUAGGUGUUUCCAAUCUCUCAUGUAGGGUAAAGCUCUAUGCUGUAGUAAUGAGCCUCAAGAUAUAUAAUGGUUAGAGCCCCAUGGAAGUUUACUUUUCACUCAUUGAAAGUCCAAUCUGGUUGUUUUUGUUGAUGGGUGAGUAGAUCCACCAAGAACUAAUCCAAGAACCUAGGCUCUUUCCAUCCUGUGACUUCUCCAUCUUUAACAAGCAUCUUCUGAGUGGCAGCAACCAAGUGUGCAGGACUACCCAUGAGAUGUUUUAUAGGUCAGGCUGGGAGAUGGUGAUAUGGCUUCUACUCACCUUUCUCAGCUAGGUCCUAGUCCCUCUGCAAGGGAGGCUGUAAAUAGAGUAUAACUGUGAGCUUGAGAAGAAAACAAAAGAGGUUUGGUAAAUAGCUAUUCACUAGAUAACUGAAUAGCUAGCUAGCCUGUCUCUGCUGUCACAGCCUUUAGAAAAAAUCAUGCACAGUGUAUUCCGGAUUAAUUAGGGGUUGAUUUUAAACUUUCAGAGAGACAAAGGAGAGGCAUAAAUAUCUGCAGCUUUGUUUCUAUCUAGGUUAUGUUGUUGAAAACCACAAAGAGAAAGCUCUGUUCCUUAUCAGGUUUAGUCAUAAGGCAUUCUCUAUAGCAAGAAAGUUAUAAAUGCUGCAUAGUAGAACACAGCCAUUUUGUUCUCCUAAGAUGAGAAAGAAAAAUAUCUGUAAAAUAUUUGAAAAAAAUCAGUUGAGACACUAAAUAUCUUCCAAGACUGGGUUUUCUGUUACCGCCUUUUCUUUAUUCUACAAUUAUGGAAAACAUAUUCUUUAAGACAAAGACAAUCUCUCCAUUGACAAAUAUGUUAGGAAAGUUCAAAUUUUCAACAGGCCCAGCACUGGUGGUGAUUCAGAGGGGAUAUGCAGCAAUUGGAUCAUUAUUGUAAUAGCAUAUCCUCAUAAGCAUGAAACAGAAAACACACCUACUGUGUGCUGAGCGCUGUGCCAAGUUCUUCACCUGCAAUAAUCCUAAAAAUCCUACAAACAACCCUAUGAGUUAGGUGUUUUUGUUAUACCCAAGCCACAGAUGUUGAAACCAUGUGAGAUGCAGUGAAGUUAAGAAAAUUGGCUGAGUUCACAUGACUUGCUAAAGAAGCAGAAAUAGGACUUAAAAUUGCCACCUGCCUACUCUCAUCCCUGGCAGACCAGAUGCCCACUGACAUGGCUUUUAGUUUUUAUGGCACAUAUCACUUCUAACAUAUGUUAACAUUUUAUUGUCUUCUCUAAUAUACUGUAAAUUCCACACGGACAGAGACCUGGUUUGUUCACUUUUGUAUCCCAAACACGAACAGUGCCUAGCACAUACCAAUUCUGUAAAUAUGUAGGAAUGCAGAAAUGAAUGCAACCUAAUCCUAGGAGAUUCUCCUUUCGUAUCUUUUCUCUUCCUUUACAUUGUGCCUUGGCUUUCUGUUUUCCCAUAUCCUUCCAUUAUGUUGCUUUUCUAAGAAAGUCACAAUCACUUCCUAUUUAUUGCAACCAGAGACUCAGAGAGAGACAGAAAAACGCAUU